rnacentral:lncRNA from 1 species
UGUUGGUAAAUGGAGGACAAGGAUCUCUUGUAAAAGUUAGAGCAUAACAGUAGGCUUGCUAAAUUGUUGUACUGGCUUUACUGGGAGGUAAACAUAUAAUAAUAGGUUCAUAAGACAAAUUAAAGCAGUUAUUAAAACAAAGAAGUGUGCACAUAGUGAUGUUUUAGCCAGGUAAUAGUGAAGUCUGCUCAGAUAUUCAGUUGCAUGUUGUUGAAGCUCAAGGGGUGUCUUGUUUUCGUGUUGUUCUAUGAAACCUCUGAAGGAAGUAUUUCUACUUUACAGGCAGAUGUCAGUGAGGAAAAACAUCCUUCAUUAACAGAUAUAGAUUUACCAAAUUGCAUGUCUGAUGCAGCUAAUGGAUUUGUCCUCUUUCUUUAUUGGGAAAUGUCUUUCAAGGAGUGGCCCUGCAGUGCCAGCUGAGCAUUUAGGAGUGCUCUGUGGAGAGCAUCACACAGGGCAUCCUGAGUGCCAACUGCAAUGGGCUGCAGAGUGAAAGAGAAGGCACAGCCUGUACCUACAGUACAGAUACCCUGAAUGUGACACCAAAGUUCACUUGGGGGAGACAGAGUUCAAAAGCUGCAGAUAACUGGAGGGAUACAGGAAGCUUUGUGUAACUGAGCAGUCAUCUGCUUUGCUGCCUGCUGAUUCUGUGAAAUACAUGAACAUCUGGAGCUGUGCACGGCAGUAGUGUGUAUAUUAAGUGACCAGAAAAUUGGACUUUUCUGCCUCCUUUUUUGUCUUCUGAAAGCAUGAGAAAAACUAGCAGUAAUAACUUGAAAGCU